rnacentral:misc_RNA from 1 species
UUUCCGUAGGUGAACCUGCGGAAGGAUCAUUAUCGCAUAACCGAGGUGAGAGGCCUGUUGAUGAUUAGACAGGUCGUGCACGCCCGAGUGCGCUUACUCUCAUCCAUCUCAUCCCUAUGUUUACCAUCGCGUGGGUCCCCCGUUGGCUUGCUUGGUGGGGCGCGUAUGUCUUAACUUAUAUUUUGUAUUUAGUGUAGAACGUCUCUUUUGUUUUUCCGAUCCCGCAACCAAUACAAUUUUCAACAACGGAUCGGUUGGCACUCGCAUUGAAGUAGAACG